GACGAACGCUGGCGGCGUGCUUAACACAUGCAAGUCGAACGGAAAGGCCCUGCUUUUGUGGGGUGCUCGAGUGGCGAACGGGUGAGUAACACGUGAGUAACCUGCCCUUGACUUUGGGAUAACUUCAGGAAACUGGGGCUAAUACCGGAUAGGAGCUCCUGCUGCAUGUUGGGGGUUGGAAAGUUUCGGCGGUUGGGGAUGGAAUCGCGGCUUAUCAGCUUGUUGGUGGGGUAGUGGCUUACCAAGGCUUUGACGGCUAGCCGGCCUGGGAGGGGGACCGGGCACCAUGGGACUAAGAGACGGACCAGACGCGUACGGGAGGCAGCAGGGGGGAACAUUGCACAAUGGGCGGGAGCCUGUGGCAGCAACGCCGCGUGCGGGAUGACGGCCUUCUGGUUGUAAACCGCUUUCGCCUGUGACGAAGCGUGAGUGACGGUAAUGGGUAAAGAAGCACCGGCUAACUACGUG
rnacentral:rRNA from 1 species